GUAAGGAAUAUUGGACAAUGGACGCAAGUCUGAUCCAGCCAUGCCGCGUGAAGGAUUAAGGUCCUCUGGAUUGUAAACUUCUUUUAUAAGGGACGAAAAAAGGCUUUUCUAAGUCGUCUGACGGUACCUUAUGAAUAAGCACCGGCUAACUCCGUGCCAGCAGCCGCGGUAAUACGGAGGGUGCAAGCGUUAUCCGGAUUCACUGGGUUUAAAGGGUGCGUAGGCGGGCAGGUAAGUCAGUGGUGAAAUCCUAGAGCUUAACUCUAGAACUGCCAUUGAUACUAUCUGUCUUGAAUAUUGUGGAGGUAAGCGGAAUAUGUCAUGUAGCAGUGAAAUGCUUAGAUAUGACAUAGAACACCUAUUGCGAAGGCAGCUUACUACGCAUAUAUUGACGCUGAGGCACGAAAGCGUGGGGAUCAAACAGGAUUAGAAACCCGUGUAGUCC
rnacentral:rRNA from 1 species